UCUCAGCUGGUGACGCGUUGACGGAAGUUCAGGUUUAUCAAUAAAGCGUUUGUUCGGCGAACAGCCGCGCUAUUCUUCGCAGAGAUAAUUACCGUGAGCAGAAUUAAUGCCGUGGCUACCAAACAAACCGAACCCAUUGUCGGACCGUUCUUUGUCGGUUCUGUACGUCACUAAAACUCGGCGAAGAACGGCGCUUUAUAGGAGAUUUCGGGAAUCCGAUCAACGCGAAGAUCAAAGAGAGGUUGAGGCGUAGAGGACCUAAUUUUUCAUUCACAUCCUAAUAAAGCCUUUCAAGACGAUGACCUAUAAAUAAAGAUCAGUCAAGGUUACAACCUAUAUGUAGAUCGCAAGAUGGCACUAUCUCAACGCAAAAAAAUGAUCAAUUUCAAAGAAGAGCUGAUCCAGUGCUGAUUAAAAUGAGAUAGUAUUACUAGUACUUAUAAUGUUAUAUUUCAUCCAAUUAUAUGAAUGCAAUUCAGAUUAUACUACUUGUAUUUAUAAUCAUAAUCAUAUUAUAAAUAUAUAAUAUAUGUAUAUAAUUCAUAUUAUGAAUUAUAUGAAUUUAUAAAUUAUAUACAACACAUCAAACUUUUAAUAAAAAUCACAAAUUAAACAACUGACUCUCCAUAUGGUACGAGCGAAACAUUUAAAGAAUUAAAUAUUAUGUUACACUAUCUUCGUUUAUAAUGUGUACGUCGAAGUUUUUAAUAAACAUAAUCAUCGCUGUAACUACCGUGACCUAAACACUUCAAAUGUAUGUAUAUUGUCAUAUAUAUAUGCUUGAA